AUUAGAAUUACUGGGUCACAUGGUAAGUUCAUGCUUAACAUUUUGAGCAACCGUCAAAUUGUUUUCCAAAGCAGCUGCAUCAUUUCUCAUUCCAGCAAU
rnacentral:pre_miRNA from 1 species